GACGAACGCUGGCGGCGUGCCUAAUACAUGCAAGUAGAACGCACAGUUUAUACCCUAGCUUGCUACACCAUAGACUGUGAGUUGCGAAUGAGUGAUUAACGCGUAGGUAACCUGCCUGGUAGCGGGGGAUGACUCUUGGAAACGAUAGCUAAUACCGCAUAAUAUUAAUUAUUGCAUGAUAAUUAACUGAAAGGUUCAAUUGCACCACUACCAGAUGGACCUGCGUUGUAUUAGCUAGUAGGUGAGGUAACGGCUCACCUAAGCGACGAUGCAUAGCCGACCUGGGGGGGUGAACGGCCACACUGGGACUGAGAAACGGCCCAGGAUCCUACGGGAGGCAGCAGUAGGGAAUCUUUGGCAAUGGACGGAAGGCUGAACGGGCAACGCCGCGUGAGUGAAGAAGGGUCUCGGAUCGUAAAGCUCUGUUGUAAGGGAAGAAAGGGUGUGAGAGUGGAAAGUUCACACUGUGACGGUAUCUUACCAGAAAGGGACGGCUAACUACGUG
rnacentral:rRNA from 1 species